UCUUGCUUUUUCUUAUUCAUAUUUUGUGGUAUUCUCCAUUCUACUAAUAUCCUUUUUUUUUGUGUUUUGUAGAAAAAAUAAAAGGCAUUCAUCUCUAUCUAAGAACAACAAGAAUAUACUCAUCUCAAUCCAACAACAACGCGAGUAAGUUCAUCUCUAUCUAAUGACAACAACAACAUGGGUAUGUAGAUGAAACUCAAUUUUCUUCAUUCUUUUUUCUAUCAUAUCAUGUUUAUGAUUUUUUUUUUCUUGACCUUCAUCACAGCCGAAAAAAUAUCUGAAGAUCAAACACAUGUAUGAAGGUAUGAAAAUCAAACUCAUUUUUGUUAUCUUCCAAUUCUUUUUUGAACUUCAUUCUUUUAUUCCAUGUUAAAAUCUUUUUCUAUGUUCUCUGAACUCAUAAAAAUAUUCUCUACUUUUAUUAAUAAAAAAAAUGUGAUGUUACACAAAAUAAAACAAACAAUUUGAUUUUAAACACUCUUUAGGUAGACUAAAAAAUAUGUCUCAUUCAUUAAAAAAAACAUAAAAUCCAAAAUAUAAUUGUAUGUAAAUAAAAAAACAGAUUUAAACAUAAACUAAAAUAUACCGANNNNNNNNNNNNNNNNNNNNNUCAUAUAUUUGAUAUGAUUUGUCAGGUAUGGUAGUAUAAUACUACACAGUAGACAGUUGGAGUACAAAAUAUGAGGAAGAACAAAUAAGAGGAAGAAUAGAACACCGUUAAAAGAACAAUAGCAAAG
rnacentral:lncRNA from 1 species